CGGUGUUAGAGGUGACAUCACUACCUCAGCCUAGCCACUGGUUUAUUCAGUCUGAGGACAACCUCGUGUUCCGGCCCAUAAACUGUCUGGAUCACUUCCUCUUCUGGAUUCUGAACCUCGUUCCCAGGCUGAGAAGUGGUACUUCGGUAAAGUUAGAAAGAUAUUCACAGUUUCGGCUUUUCCGGAUCAAUAACUCAUCAGCGGAACAUUGCCUCUAGAAAGCCAACACCUCUCUGCAACCACAGCAAGGCAGACAGUGAGCUACAAUCAUCUUUUCUUCAAAAUGAGACUUGCAUUGGCCUCUAUGCAGAGAUCGCUGCUCCUCUAAUGCGCAGAGACCGUCUGCAAAUUGCAACUCCAGAAAAUAUAUGAUGGAGAAAUAUUCAAUAAAGUCGCCAAGGAGAGGUGUAUUGUCAUUGAAAUCAUUGUAUGUGAUCUGACGUUUUUCAUUCUACAUUUCUUGGAUUGGAAAUUAAUACAAAAAAAAAAAAGGAAUUUCCCAAAGACACCUAAAUAGCCAAAUAUUCAGUAAAACAUGGUCAAUAACUUCACUUUAGCAUGUUGUAGUGCCAUCAAACUCAUAGCACACAGGGAGAGCAUCAUCUUGAAUCUUUUUAAUAAACAUAACAUUGCCUUUAUAUAUGCAGACAUGCUCUUUUAAUAAAUCUGUAUUACAACCAAAUAAUUAACUUUCCCUUUACUGUUUGCAGUGUGUCAUAACCUGAAAUCACUCAACAUUACAUCUUUGAGUUUUAACAAAUUUUAUUUCCCACACUAUCAAGCAUAAAUAAUUCAGUAUUUGGUUACAGUCAGCAAACGUUACCAAGAGACUCUCUAGUUAUUGCACAACACACAGUACCAAGGGGUGUCAUGUCAAUGCAUUCAGUGUGGAACCAUCGCUCACAGGUUUCACACUGUAUCUACAACA